ACAAAAGCUCGGAGAGACAAUAGAGUGGAGACAUAUUAGGUCAAGCCGCUGUCCCAGAAAUAAAAAAAUUAUGCCAUUGUUGUUGUCUGCUUGUGAUUUUGCGAAAGAGAAUAAAGAGGGAUCAAAACUUGCGGCUUGCUUCUUCUACUACAGAUCCUUCUUUGGAGCUUUUUGAAAGAUAUAAGAAGAAAUUACAAAAUCCACAGGCAAUUGCGGCAAUGGGGAUGAUUUAUAAUAGCACAAAAAAAAGAUAAAGAUUUAUAUUUUACCUUUGGAUUCUUUUUAAUUUUCCAACGAAUGCCCCCACGUUAAUAACAAAUAACAUCAUUUUU